rnacentral:rRNA from 1 species
AGUGAACGCUGGCGGUAGGCCUAACACAUGCAAGUCGAACGGCAGCACAGGAGAGCUUGCUCUCUGGGUGGCGAGUGGCGGACGGGUGAGGAAUACAUCGGAAUCUACUUUUUCGUGGGGGAUAACGUAGGGAAACUUACGCUAAUACCGCAUACGACCUACGGGUGAAAGCAGGGGAUCUUCGGACCUUGCGCGAUUGCAUGAGCCGAUGUAGGAUUAGCUAGUUGGCGGGGUAAAGGCCCACAAAGGCCACGAUCCGUAGCUGGUCUGAGAGGAUGAUCAGCCACACUGGAACUGAGACACGGUCCAGACUCCUACGGGAGGCAGCAGUGGGGAAUAUUGGACAAUGGGCGCAAGCCUGAUCCAGCCAUACCGCGUGGGUGAAGAAGGCCUUCGGGUUGUAAAGCCCUUUUGUUGGGAAAGAAAUCCAGCUGGUUAAUACCCGGUUGGGAUGACGGUACCCAAAGAAUAAGCACCGGCUAACUUCGUGCCAGCCGCCGCCGUAA